rnacentral:rRNA from 1 species
GAGCUUGCUCCUGAGAUUAGCGGCGGACGGGUGAGUAACACGUGGGCAACCUGCCUAUAAGACUGGGAUAACUUCGGGAAACCGGAGCUAAUACCGGAUACGUUCUUUUCUCGCAUGAGAGAAGAUGGAAAGACGGUUUACGCUGUCACUUAUAGAUGGGCCCGCGGCGCAUUAGCUAAUUGGUGAGGUAAUGGCUCACCAAGGCGACGAUGCGUAGCCGACCUGAGAGGGUGAUCGGCCACACUGGGAUUGAGACACGGCCCAGACUCUACGGGAGGCAGCAGUAGGGAAUCUUCCGCAAUGGACGAAAGUCUGACGGAGCAACGCCGCGUGAACGAAGAAGGCCUUCGGGUCGUAAAGUUCUGUUGUUAGGGAAGAACAAGUACCAGAGUAACUGCUGGUACCUUGACGGUACCUAACCAGAAAGCCACGGCUAACUACGUGCCAGCAGCCGCGAUAAUACGUAGGUGGCAAGCGUUGUCCGGAAUUAUUGGGCGUAAAGCGCGCG